rnacentral:rRNA from 1 species
GACGAACGCUGGCGGCGUGCUUAAUACAUGCAAGUCGAACGGUAAGGCCCUUCGGGGUACACGAGUGGCGAACGGGUGAGUAACACGUGGGUGAUCUGCCCUGCACUUCGGGAUAAGCCUGGGAAACUGGGUCUAAUACCGGAUAGGACCACUGCCUGCAUGGGUGGUGGUGGACAGCUUUUGCGGUGUGGGAUGGGCCCGCGGCCUAUCAGCUUGUUGGUGGGGUGAUGGCCUACCAAGGCGACGACGGGUAGCCGGCCUGAGAGGGUGACCGGCCACACUGGGACUGAGAUACGGCCCAGACUCCUACGGGAGGCAGCAGUGGGGAAUAUUGCGCAAUGGGCGCAAGCCUGAUGCAGCGACGCCGCGUGAGGGAUGACGGCCUUCGGGUUGUAAACCUCUUUCAGCACCGACGAAGCGCAAGUGACGGUAGGUGCAGAAGAAGGACCGGCCAACUACGUGCCAGCCGCCGCCGUAA